rnacentral:rRNA from 1 species
UCUCAGUUCGGACUGCAGUCUGCAACUCGACUGCACGAAGCUGGAAUCGCUAGUAAUCGCGGAUCAGCACGCCGCGGUGAAUACGUUCCCGGGCCUUGUACACACCGCCCGUCAAGCCAUGGAAGCCGGGAGUGCCUGAAGUGCGUGACCGCAAGGAGCGUCCUAAGGCAAUACCGGUGACUGGGGCUAAGUCGUAACAAGGUAUC